rnacentral:tRNA from 1 species
CCUUGGGUGGUACAAAUGGUUAAUGUGCUUGACUGCUAAACAAAAGAUUGGAGGUUCGAGUCCACCCCCAGGUG